UACCACAGGCUUAAUGUCUUAAGACAAAUCCCAUCUGAUCUCGGAAGCUAAGCGGGGUCGGGCCUGGUUAGUACUUGGAUGGGAGACCGUCUAGGAAGACCAGGUGCUGUAGGUG
rnacentral:rRNA from 1 species